AAGCGGAGGAAAAGAAACCAACUGGGAUUACCUUAGUAACGGCGAGUGAAGCGGUAAAAGCUCAAAUUUGAAAUCUGGUACUUUCAGUGCCCGAGUUGUAAUUUGUAGAAUUUGUCUUUGAUUAGGUCCUUGUCUAUGUUCCUUGGAACAGGACGUCAUAGAGGGUGAGAAUCCCGUUUGGCGAGGAUACCUUUUCUCUGUAAGACUUUUUCGAAGAGUCGAGUUGUUUGGGAAUGCAGCUCAAAGUGGGUGGUAAAUUCCAUCUAAAGCUAAAUAUUGGCGAGAGACCGAUAGCGAACAAGUACAGUGAUGGAAAGAUGAAAAGAACUUUGAAAAGAGAGUGAAAAAGUACGUGAAAUUGUUGAAAGGGAAGGGCAUUUGAUCAGACAUGGUGUUUUUUGCAUGCACUCGCCUCUCGUGGGCUUGGGCCUCUCAAAAAUUUCACUGGGCCAACAUCAAUUCUGGCAGCAGGAUAAAUCAUUAAGAAUGUAGCUACUUCGGUAGUGUUAUAGCUUUUUGGAAUACUGUUAGCCGGGAUUGAGGACUGCGCUUCGGCAAGGCAUGUUGGCAUAAUGGUUAAAUGCCGCCCGUCUUGAA
rnacentral:rRNA from 1 species